ensembl:lncRNA
UCGUUGGAUAAAAGCGUCUGCUCAGUAACUAAAUGUAAAUGUUAUGUAAUAUAAAUAUAAUAAUGCAAUGCCAUAUAAUACAAAUAUUUGUUAUUUUGUUACCUACUCUUAAUCUCGGUGAUGUAAUGGGCGUACGGUUUUCACCUCGUUCCGAUCGCGGUGACGUCAUCGACGCUGGUAAAACUGACGGGCCACCUGUCGGUGGAAUGGACCUCGCCUUUAAGAAGCUCCUGCAGGAUGAAAACCGGAGCUGUUCACAACACAUGGUGCUGAACGACGCCGAGACAUCAGGGAGAGCGAAGACAACGCCGCAGAAGCACUGUUUAUGCCGGAGAACAUCUGAACAGUUUGACGAGCCAGUGCUGGGAAGCGGAAUCGAUGGAGCAAGACAUCGUUCUCACAGGUUUAUUUCAGGGUCAGAUCUGGCGUGUUACACAGCAAGAGGCCUUAAUGAGGAGACAUGUCAUAGGAGAACCUGCUCCAUUCGAGUCUCGUAGCACAGGUGACACCCAGAUGAGGAGAACCGUUCUCGCCUCUCCUCAUCAGAUGAAGGUAUACAAUAUGACUCAUGCAAUACGGCAGAGAACAGAACUCGCCUGAAAAAAAGAGGAAAUGAUGAGAUAUAAAACCCAAACAUAUAUAUUGCUGUUGUUCCAGUCAAAUGAAAUAAUAAGAAUUUUUUUUUUUUUUAAUUGUAAACAAUUUAAAAGCUUUUGGAGCACAUUUUACAAGAAAAUAUAUUUCAGUCAGACAAAAUUUCACAUUUAAUUAAAUGUGUUACUUGGCAUUUCUUUGAAAUUAUUUGUGAAAAUGUACUUGUAAUUUCUGAUAUGGUGAAAAUGGGUUCAAAGUACAUCCUACAUCUUUUUAUUUUCAGUUUAUAAAACAGAUGCUGUAAAAUAACUUUUUUAUGUAACACUUUACAAUAAAGUCCUAUUAGUUAAUGCA